CAAGGUUGCGGCCCCUCCGCCUCGUCUCCUCCCCGUCCCUCCUCUCCAACACUGCUGCCCUCGAUGCGCCAUCAGGGCGACGUUGACACGUUAGGGAUACACCGUGAUGGAGCUCAGCCCGAGCCCAAUACAAGUCACUCCUAACCAUGUUCGCUCGAUUGACAAGAGCAAGGCAGCGGAUUGGAUCGAGGGCGCCCGCAUGGCCUCGCUGCCACUAUCACCUGGAUUCGCUAGCCGCUGCCUUGAGUCACAUCCGUCGCCGCCGCGAGUCAGCUCCACCGUUGCUGCCAGGAAUCUCAUCCCCGGCAAGGAAAAUUCCUAGGGAUUUUAUUGACGGAGGCAUCACUAUCUGGCGCUGGAUUAUCCAUUUUUGCAGCACUAGCACUGUUGUUUUUGUUUGGAAUGGCCAGUUCCCAAUAUCUAUCCUGUUAUCAACUAUAUUGUACUUUUUGUAAGGUUACAUUAUCUACUUGGUUUCAGUGUAAAUGUAGCACAAAAAGAGGUAACAUGGUUGUUUUCAUGUUUGAUUUGGUUUGUAGCACACUAAGGAACACCAUACGGGAAAGGGCAUUGCACUUCUUUAUUUAUAAUUGACCUGUUGCGAUUCGGUUUGGUAUAGUACUUAAUUGAUACACCAUUUCAAGUUAUGUAGCCUAAAAUAACCCUCUCAAAUGAACUUUUUUAGUUGAUCUUCAGAGCAUCAACAUGGUGGACUAGAUUAUGAAAGCAACUAUGAUCAUGAGAACUUGAAGCUAUUUGUUGACUGAAUUGUCAAUUGUUUUGCAUGAAUUGAAACUGGCAGUGUGAUACAUCACCGUAGAUGCUUUGUUGUAUACAUGCGCCUAAUCCUCUCUUUCUCUCUAAUCUUUUAUCUUGUGUGAAGAUCCUUUGCAGAUCAAUUUCCGAGGCAGAAUGCUAGGUGGCUCAUGCCAAGCAUCGUUUCACAUUCAGGUAAGGCUCUUUGCUUGCAACCACUGCGGCACCCACUACACAUGGGGUUUGAUCAAAAUGUAUCAGAAAAUUGGUCUCAUUGAGAAACAUUUGGUAGAUAACUUUUUUGGCCUGGGUAGAUAACUUUUAUUAUUCAAGAUGCAACAUUUUAUUUUGCUGUAUUUUGUUAUCGAUAUUCCUCUAAAUGUUUUGUGUACUUUAAGCAAAACCUUGGGUUUGUGUUUAUUUUUACAUAGUUAGGCAAUCUGCAUACAUUUUCCAUACAUCAACAUAUAUCUGUUGAAAAACAGAGAAUUGCUUCUAGGCAUCCACAUAUACUCACUAAAGAAAUAGAGAAUAUCAAUCGCUCCUCAACUAUUUGUAUGCAUCCUCAUACACUCACUAGAAAAACAGAGAGUACAAAUUACCCGUCUACCAUCUGCGGAACCUAAGAAACAGAGAGCACAAAUUCUGUAAUAAAAAUUAUCUAUACAAUCGACCAUGCAAUACCAUAUCCAAUAAGAAUAGCUACCGAACUUGCAAAGAGAACCAAUAAUGUUGGCUCGCCCAUUGAUAGCAAGCUUAAACAAGAAAGGCACUUGAACAUCUAUAACAUAGUGUUCAUUAUAAACAGAAAAGGUCAGGUGAUAAUAUUUCAAAGCUUCAUGUAACAAUUUUCAUGCUUGAAGUUCAUUAUUGCGCAUAUCAUAACUGCAAGGGUGAUAUUCUUUCUUCAAUUUCAGAAGGAUGGUAGUUGACUAUUUGAAAUCUUGUUGAGCAAUUAACAAGAAAUGGAUCUUAUUUACUUUGCCAUUAUUAUGCCUUUAGCUGUACUUGGCAUAUCAAGAGCCGUUGUUAGGUUCUACCGGAUUGAUUGUUAGUUCCUUUUUCUUAGGUUCUACUAACUCGUCUUCUUAUUUUAUCCUCAUUUUUUCCUUUCCAAUUUUGCAGGGGGGGUUUACUCUCCCUCGAGGUAAGCGUGGAUGUAAUGGAUAUUGAUUUUGACUUGGGUGCAAAUUGAGUACUGACGGUGAGACUUAUUCCAUUUGUUUAUCCUUUUGGCCUCUUAAUGAAGAACAACGCUCAAAGCUUACAUGGUUGUCAAUCUUGGGUGCCUUGUGCAAACUUUCCAGUUUUGGCGCUUGUGAUCUUCCUUGCUUAGGUGACCUGCCCCCAAUCCUUCUUCCCCUCCCCUCUGAUCUCUCUCUCUCUCUCUCUCUCUCUCUCUCUCUCUCUCUCUCCCUCCCUCCCUCUCCCUCCCUCCCUCCCUCUCCCCCCUCUCUCUCUCCCCCCCUCUCUCUCUGGUUUGACGUGUGUUCAUGUUUUGUGUGAUUUGCACCAUGAUUGGAUUUUUGGACAAAUGGGCAUUGUUGCUUCACUGCUAUAUGUGGUUGAUGCUUGGUUCAGAAACUCGGUUCGAGUUAAAUUGCUUUAGCAUUUUUUCCAGGUUGUGUAUGGAAGCACAAAAGUAGUAUCAACAAUAAAAAGGGUCAUUUCACAUUUUACUAUAUAUGCAUUUAAGAGCUUAGCAAGAGAAUAGCCUCUCUGUUCCAGGAGAAGAAUUAAUGCUCUGUUUUUUGCAUAUGCAUGCAGCAACAACUCUUUUGUAUUCUGGUUCAAGAAAAUAUUUUCUAUGUGAAAUGAGGAGUAGAAUUUAAAAAAAAUGCAACUUUCGAUAUGUAAUAUGUAGUAUGUACAAUUUUUUUGGGUAGUCUGCGUCGCUAGAAAGCUCCUGUUUAGAUACAGUCAUCUGCACUAAGCUUCAUGAUUCAUAGAAAGAAAAGGACUCCAUAAAGGUUCAGAUUCUUGUUAUGUUGUGAUUUUGCGAGACUUCUGUAGUUAUUUAUUUUAACACCUAUGAAUUUAAUAAUUGGGAUCAUCUUGAAAAUUACGCUUCCACCUGCUGAUUUGUGUUGCCUUAGCACUCAUGUUGUUUCCUGAAAAAAUGUUGUGCACAGGCUGGCUGUGAUCGAUUGGUAUAGAGCCCUAUGUUAUGAAUGUGAAUAUCGAACAAAUUAAAUAUCGCUCUCGUGAUUCUAAUGGUAACAAAUCAUUAUCCUUUACCGUGAUAUGAUAGUGGUGGUGUCAGAUUAUGAUACAUGGUGUGAAUCUUAUCGUUUCUCUCACGUAAUAUCUUCUUAUUGUUCAAUACUAUGAUCCACAACGUGAUACUGGAAACCUUGAUUAAUGUUGUGUUACAGUUCUGUUUUUCCUUGAGAUUGUGUUUAUAAACAUAUAUUAUAUUUUCAGCUAUUAGAUAAAGUGUCUAUCUUGGUUUGAGUUGCCCGCAAAACCAUUUUUUUAUAAGCUUGCUUAUUAUUAGAAUAUAGUGUGUGUAUCUUGGUUUGAGUUACCUUCAAAACUAUUUUUUAGAAGCUUGCACAUUUCUAUUUAGGAAUGAGCUUUCUCUACUGAAUAUGUGAUCCUCACUUCUGAGUGGUAAAUUCUUUGAUCUACAUAUCUAAGGAGCGGGAUGUGAAAGUGCAAAGCAAAAUUUCUAUUUUGGAAUGUGAUGUUCUCUACUAAAUGUGAUUAUCAAUUUCGUGUGGUAAUUAAUUUCUGAGCCUAUGAACUCUUUGAUGCAGCAAACUACUAUGGUUGCUGAUCCAUCACAAUAUUGACCAUGAACUUUGUGCACCUCUGAGGUUAUUUUGGAAACGGAAGGAUAUCUUCGUGGUCAGCACAUCGGUGUCUUAAGGCCGCUUCCUGUGUCACUGCGCCGGCAAAGUGCAAGAACAAACAUGGAUGUAUCAGUGUAGAUAAUUGUAACUUUAUUUCUUCAUUGAUUUAAGAUACUCACAUAUAAUGUACAUGGUUACCAAUGCUCUACAAUACCCACAUAAUUGUUGGUUCUAAUUGGCUUCUCUAUCGGAGAGUCAAGCCGCAACUUGACAAAUCUGCUAUCAUGUUCAGUAAAAAUACCAAGAAUGAUGUUUGGAAAGCUAUGCUGCACCAGCUGGGACUGGGUUGUGAGACUUGGAAUGGAAGAUACCUGGGCCUCCAGUGUAUGUGGGACGAUGAAAGAACAGAAGUCUUGUGUAUCUGAAGGAUAGAAUUUGGCAAUGUAUACAAGGCAGGGAAGGAGGUUUUGAUAAAGGCAUGUGCCUGGUCCAACCCACUUUUGCCAUGUCAGUUUUUGACCUUACAAAGGGGCUAUGUGAAAAUGCGUGUUUUUUAUAUGUAAGGAUCCAAACUCUUAGUGUUCGUGUUUGCCCAGAUAGAAGAUUACU